rnacentral:rRNA from 1 species
AACGAACGCUGGCGGCGUGGAUUAGGCAUGCAAGUCGGGGGAAUCCCAGCAAUGGGGGAACCGGCGUAAGGGGCAGUAAGGCAUGGGUACCUACCUUUGGGUUCGGGAUAGCCAUCAGAGAUGGUGGGUAAUACCGGAUGACGUCGUGAGACCAAAGAUUUAUCGCCCGGAGAGGGGCCCAUGUGAUAUUAGCUUGUUGGUGAGGUAACGGCUCACCAAGGCGAAGAUGUCUAGCGGGUGUGAGAGCACGACCCGCGCCACUCGCACUGAGACACUGGCGAGACACCUACGGGUGGCUGCAGUCGAGGAUCUUCGGCAAUGAGCGCAAGCUUGACCGAGCGACGCCGCGUGAGCGAUGAAGGCCUUCGGGUUGUAAAGCUCUUUAGUGGGGGAGAAAAGCCCGCAAGGGUGUGAUCUAUCCCAAAAAUAAGCACGGGCUAAGUUCGUGCCAGCAGCCGCGGUAAGACGAACCGUGCGAACGUUGUUCGGAAUCACUGGGCUUAAAGGGCGCGUAGGCGGGCUGUCAAGUCUGGGGUGAAAUGCCGCGGCUCAACCGUGGAACUGCCUUAGAUACUGACGGCCUCGAGGGAGGUAGGGGCGUGCGGAACUGUAGGUGGAGCGGUGAAAUGCGUUGAUAUCUACAGGAACUCCGGUGGCGAAAGCGGCGCGCUGGACCUCUUCUGACGCUGAGGCGCGAAAGCUAGGGGAGCAACGGGAUUAGAUACCCCGGUAGUCCUAGCCCUAAACGAUGGGU